GACGAACGCUGGCGGCGUGCUUAACACAUGCAAGUCGAACGGAAAGGCCCUGCUUUUGUGGGGUGCUCGAGUGGCGAACGGGUGAGUAACACGUGAGUAACCUGCCCUUGACUUUGGGAUAACUUCAGGAAACUGGGGCUAAUACCGGAUAGGAGCUCCUGCUGCAUGGUGGGGGUUGGAAAGUUUCGGCGGUUGGGGAUGGACUCGCGGCGUAUCAGCUUGUUGGGGGGGUAGUGGCUUACCAUGGCUUUGACGGGUAGCCGGCCUGCGAGGGUGACCGGCCACAUUGGGACUGAGAUACGGCCCAGACUCGUACGGGAGGCAGCAGUGGAGAAUAUUACACAGUGGGCGGGAGCCUGAUGCAGCAACGCCGCGUGCGGGAUGACGGCAUUCGGGUUGUGAACCGCUUUCGCCUGUGACGAAGCGUGAGUGACGGUACUGGGUGAAGAAGCACCGGCUAACUACGUG
rnacentral:rRNA from 1 species